rnacentral:rRNA from 1 species
GAUGAACGCUGGCGGCGUGCCUAAUACAUGCAAGUCGAGCGAACAGACGAGGAGCUUGCUUCUCUGACGUUAGCGGCGGACGGGUGAGUAACACGUGGAUAACCUACCUAUAAGACUGGGAUAACUUCGGGAAACCGGAGCUAAUACCGGAUAAUAUAUUGAACCACAUGGUUCAAUAGUGAAAGACGGUUUUGCUGUCACUUAUAGAUGGAUCCGCGCCGCAUUAGCUAGUUGGUAAGGUAACGGCUUACCAAGGCAACGAUGCGUAGCCGACCUGAGAGGGGGAUCGGCCACCCUGGAACUGAGCCACGGUCCAGACUCCUACGGGAGGCAGCAGUAGGGAAUCUUCCGCAAAGGGCGAAAGCCUGACGGAGCAACGCCGCGUGAGUGAUGAAGGUCUUCGGAUCGUAAAACUCUGUUAUUAGGGAAGAACAAAUGUGUAAGUAACUAUGCACGUCUUGACGGUACCUAAUCAGAAAGCCACGGCUAACUACGUG